AGAUCUCUUGUGUGAAAUAUUUAGGUAAUGACUAUCAUAAAAGAGACCACUUUAGAGUGCAAUAAUGUGCUCUGAAAGAGUCUUCUGUGUCAGUUAGGAAUAAAAAAAUCAUUAUACUUGGCACUGUAUUUAUUGUGCCCAAUACUGAGUGAGUUGUAGCUGAGUAAACCUGAAAUGUAUUUGUGCUUCUAGUGUACCUGCCAUCCUGCCCACAAACUUGCACCAUCACUGUGAUUGUCCCCAGCAUAUUUUUAAAGGUUUCUCUCUCCCUUCCUACCUUUCACUCAUUAUUUUAUUUUAUUUUUUUUUUUACUUUUUAACAUUAUGAAUACAUAAAAAUAGGAUGAACUGAUGAAAAACAGCUGAGAUAGGAGAUAAAGAACAAGUCUAUUACUUGUUACUUUUGUAAAUACUACCUACGGCCACCUAUAGUUCUCUUUGCCUUCUUUCUUUUGACAUAUUCCCAGAUUUAUUACUGUUUGAAAUACCAGAAUGCAUAGAAGUGAGUGAUGUUAGGAAAAAUCCACUACAGCUUUGAGACAUUUGUUUUCCAGAGUUUGCUGUUCAUUACAGGUAUGUACCUGCAGUUAAGGUUUGCUAAAAAUACCAUAGUUCAUUACUACUAUGGCUAAUUAGCCUUGAUAAUUCUGAAAAUGCGUUCUAUUUAUGUUUACUUUGAGCACACAAGAAUGCAUGGCAAGGUUUGAUUGAACACUGAAGGAAAAAGGCAGUCUUCACCUUGAAGAGUUUACCAGCUGAAAAUACAUGGUGAGGGUGUGUACAUGGAAAUGUAGGGCUUACCACACAGGAGUAGUCAGGCUGAGAAGGGUUGAGUCACAGGAAAGGAAUGAGCAAUGGCCUGUCAGGAAACACCCUGUGAGUUCCAAACAUUCUUAUUUUUGUUUGAUAGGGGUUGGGUAGGUGGAGAUCAGGACAAAGCAAAGGCAUGGAGAGAAAGGCAAGGACGUUUCAAGAUAUGGAGAGCUCUCCUGGAGAAACUAUCAAAAAAUACAGCAAGUCUGUCAAAGCUAAAUGCCUGCUCUGAGUACUGUGGAUGGUGUCUGGGACACCAGCAUACUGCUAGCUGGAGAAGCAGUUACCCCUACCGAAGAGGAACUUUCUGCCCUUGCCUUACAGAUGGCCUAAUUAUAAAGAAAGAAAAGAGAAACAUUGUGGAGGUGCAAAAGACAAGUCGGGAUUCCCCUCUGGCAGCUCCUCCUUCCAGGCUCUGUGGAAAUGACUUUGUUUGUUGGGAAAUACAGAGGGACACUCAGUCUAUUUCUCACACACCCCAGCCAGUUACCUCAGGUCUCUUCAUGAGUGGGCAAUGGUCCAUGAUAAACACUCAGUUUUGGAUGCCAUCUUUUCAGGACCCUGUUGGUCCCUCUCUCAUCAGCUUAAGCUGAGUCUUUUUAUGCUGUACAUUUGAGGUCUGCCUUCUUCCCCUGCAUUAGGGCACAGACUCCAGGAAUUCUUCACAUUAGAACAAUAGGGCUUAAAUGGUAUUAUUUAUAUAUUUAUUUUCUGGAGGAAUGCUUGGCUUGCUGCAAUGAACAGAUCAUCUGUCUGAUUAAAAUGUUGGACUUUGGAGAUUGCUCAUGUUCUGUCAUUAGAACACGAAACUUGGUUUGCCAGAUGGGCAUGUUCUUUACUUCAGCUCAAAUGGCAGUUUUAAAUAUAUUCCCAUGUAGCUUUUCUCUUGUAUCAAACAUGAGAAAAUAAUAAUUUCCCUCUGAUGCACUGUCCAGAGUUGACAACUUCUAAACUAUGAAGAUAGGGAGGGAUGCUGAAUCUCUGUGUAUCAUCUGAUUUUCCAGUGCCCACCAAAUCUGGAGUGGAACUUUUCCACAUCUUCAAGCCACUUUGCACAUGCACAGUUCCUUUCAGCAUUGAAACCUUUCUACCCUACAUGUCAAUUAAAUCUCUGGUAUUUAUAACAAAGAUUGACUGAGAUGGUUAUGUGCAGAAGCCACUCAGAGUUCUAUGUAAGAAUAUGAAACAUUUAUCUCAUUUCAAAACUCCUGUGAUUUGUCCAAAAUACAAGGAAAAUUUGUACUGAUCUGGGUGAAUCAAUUCCUACGCUGUUUCAGUCCUGGAAGAAAGCAGGAAAAAGAGAUAAAGAAAAUAGUUUGGCAUGUGGUAAGGACACAGAUAUAGGUGUAAUAGAGAAGGAUGGAGCAAAAUGCCAGCAGAAAAGACUGAGGGUCGUGGUGGAGUGGAAUACCUGAGCUUGUAAUGUCUGCAGUCAUUACACAAUCUCUCAGGUUCAAGAUUUGUAUGACUGAGGAAUCAUCUUACCAGAGAAUGCUGAGGAACAUCCCAGGAGGAAACAGUAGAUAAACACAGUAAAGACCUCAGAUCAUUUUGCAAGAGAAACAAAAUAAAAAUGAACAGGCAAAGCUUCCUGAAUGCCCC
rnacentral:lncRNA from 1 species